ACAAAGUUUGCUUACGCCUUAAGUACAGUAUAUAUGAAUCUCCGCCAUAGCUAGGGUUUGGGUUUUACCUUCAAGUUUUAUUAAUCCAACUCAACACUCACGCAAAUGGACACUUCUUUGAGAUAUGGUGGAGAUUCCAGCGCUCUCAGGAUCGCCACUAAGAACAAUCCUCCUACGGUGAAGUACGCUGGAGAUGUCAGCGCCCUCAAAAUCCAUGUUAAACAGAAGCUCCGUAUCGAUUCCAACACUCUACUUCAGCUUAAUGGAGAGCUUGAUACAGGGAAAGGGGCUCCGACAUUCUUUUGUGCACUUGUUAGACACUUCUAUCCUGAUCUGUCAGCUAGUCUUGGAGCUGGAUUGCAUUAUGAUAGAAAUGACAAACUCCAUUGCACCGUGCGUGGGAAAAAGGCGUAUCCAGUGGCAUCCAAUCGGUUUGUCAACUUUGUCCUCAAAGGCCGUUGUGACAUUGACAAAGAGUUGGAGCCAACACCAAAUGGAGCUCUCGAGUUGGUAUGGAACAUUCUAGAUUUCCAGAAGGAUCAAGAUGUAAGGCUCAAGGUUGGCUAUGAAAUCGUUGACAAGAUUCCGUAUGUACAAAUCAGGGAAAACAAUUGGACAUUUAAUGCGGAUAUUAAUGGAAGAUGGAAUGUGAGAUACAACCUAUGAGACUAAGAACUGAUUAUAUUGUUUUCUAACUGGCCAGAUAUCAGUUGCAAGAAAAAAGAGAGAGAAAUCGAUGUGUAGGAUGAGUGUCUUGGGGAACACAAAGUCGUCUCUAUAUGAGUAUAUGUUAGCUUUCACAUUGUAGGUAAGCUAUCCUUAUUUUGUAGGUUGAGUUUAAAUAAAGUUAAAAAGUUGAUGAGGCUUUACCUGUUAACAUAUAAUCUUCAGGGUAAGUUUAUGAUUUAGGUGGAAAGUUCAUGGGCUUUUCUGG